rnacentral:rRNA from 1 species
ACUGAACGCUGGCGGCAGGCUUAACACAUGCAAGUCGAGCGGGGUGAUGGUGCUUGCACUAUCACUUAGCGGCGGACGGGUGAGUAAUGCUUAGGAAUCUGCCUAUUAGUGGGGGACAACAUCUCGAAAGGGAUGCUAAUACCGCAUACGUCCUACGGGAGAAAGCAGGGGAUCACUUGUGACCUUGCGCUGAUAGAUGAGCCUAAGUCGGAUUAGCUAGUUGGGGGGGUAAAGGCCUACCAAGGCGACGAUCUGUAGCGGGUCUGAGAGGAUGAUCCGCAACACUGGGACUGAGACACGGCCCAGACUCCUACGGGGGGCAGCAGUGGGGAAUAUUGGACAAUGGGGGGAACCCUGAUCCAGCCAUGCCGCGUGUGUGAAGAAGGCCUUAUGGUUGUAAAGCACUUUAAGCGAGGAGGAGGCUCUUUUGGUUAAUACCCAAGAUGAGUGGACGUUACUCGCAGAAUAAGCACCGGCUAACUCUGUGCCAGCCGCCGCAGUAA